rnacentral:lncRNA from 1 species
UCACACUGAGGUGGAUUUUGUGAGAAAUGCGAAUUAUUUAUUGUACCCCAAUUUAUGACCAGAGGGUGGAGAGUGAAAUUAGGUUUAGGUUAGGGUUUUUUUACUUUACUUCAGUGAGCGAAAGUCAGGUUCGUGGUUAACCUUCCCAAUCUUCAGAGUUGAUGAGCCAUGUCUCGUUUCCAAUGUUCUUCUUCUUUUUGCAAUAGCUCCGGCC